GUGACCUCAAAUCAGGUAGGACUACCCGCUGAACUUAAGCAUAUCAAUAAGCGGAGGAAAAGAAACUAACAAGGAUUCCCCUAGUAACUGCGAGUGAAGCGGGAAAAGCUCAAAUUUAAAAUCUGUCAGUCUUUGGCUGUCCGAGUUGUAAUCUAGAGAAGUGUUAUCUGCGUUG
rnacentral:rRNA from 1 species